AUUCGAUGACAUCGACCUGCCCUCAGCAGUCAAGUACCUCAUGGCCUCAGAUCCCAACCUGCAGGUGCUGGGGGCUGCCUACAUUCAGCACAAGUGCUACAGCGACGCAGCCGCCAAGAAGCAGGUGGCCGUCCCUGCUGACCACGCCCAUGGACCCCCUUCACGCCCUGUCCUCUGGUCCCUGACCACCCUCGCUGACCCCCAAACUGACUGGGCAGACCUGGGCCUACCCAGAGCAUCCCCAGCAGAGGAAGGGUGGGGGGUGGACUCACACGUGUCUGAAUACACGUGCUGACACCCACACACCUCUGCGCACACCUGAAUACAGACACACAGGUCUCUCAGUGUACACACCUGCCUACACCUGCAACCUUUGCACACCUCUGCACACCCCUGCACACCUCUGCACACACCUGAAUGUAGACACACAGGUCUCUCAGUGUACACACCUGCCUACACCUGCAACCUUUGCACACCUCUGCACACCCCUGCACACCUCUGCACACACCUGCACACCUCUGCACACACCUGAAUAUAGACACACACGUCUCUCAGUGUACACACCUGCCUACACCUGCACACCUCUGCACACCUGCACACCUCUGCACACACCUGAAUAUAGACACACACGUCUCUCAGUGUAUACACCUGCCUACACCUGCAACCUUUGCACACACCUGCACACCUCUGCACACACCUGCACACUUCUGCCACACCUUUCUGCACACCAUGCCACACAUUACAGCGCGGCCAGGACCUGUGGCGCGCUUCCAAGACCACCACGUCCGUGUACUUGCUCUUCGUGGCCAGCGUCCUGAGAUCGGCGCCCGCGGCUGACGGGGCUCAGCUGCAGAGAGAGCUGCGCAAGCUGUGCCGCCUGGCCCGUGACGGUGUCCUCGGGGGCAGGGCGCGGUUCUCGGAGGAGGACCUGGAGCGCCUGCAGCUCUGUGGCGCCAAGGUCCAGACGCAGUUUCUCAGCAAGAAGGAGAUGCCAGGCGUGCUGGAGACAGAGGUCACCUACCAGUUCAUUGAUCAGAGCUUCCAGGAAUUCUUAGCUGCUCUGUCCUACCUGCUGGAGGACGAAGGGGCUCCCAGGGCAGCUGCUGGCGGCAUAGAGGCACUUCUGCAGGGGGACCCGGAGCUGCGCGGCCACCUCAAGCUCACCACGCGCUUCCUCUUCGGGCUGCUGAGCACAGAGAGGAUGUGUGAGAUUGAGCGCCACUUCGGCUGCACAGCUUCAGAGCGCGUGAAGCAGCAGGUCCUGAGGUGGGUGCAGGACCAGGGCCAGGGCUGCCCUAGGGCGGCGCCAGAGGGGACGGAGGAGAUCCUGGCGCCCCAGGGCACUGAGGAGUCAGAGGAGGAGGAGGGCGAGGAGCUCGACUCCCCGCUGGAGCUGCUGUACUGCCUGUACGAGACCCAGGAGGACGCGUUCGUGCACCAGGCCCUCCGCGGCCUCCCUGAGCUGGUGCUGGAGCGAGUGCACUUCAGCAGAAUGGACCUGGCCGUCCUGAGCUACUGUGUGCGGUGCUGCCCGGCCGGGCAGGCGCUGCGGCUGGUCAGCUGCAGACUGGCUGCUGCGCAGGAGAAGAAGAAGAGGAGCCUGAUGAAGCGUCUGCAGGGCAGCCUGGGUGGCAGCUCCUCUCGAGCCACCGAGAGAAAACCCCCAGGCUCCCCCCUGCGCCCGCUCUGUGAGGCCAUGAUCGACCGACAGUGUGGUCUGAACAGCCUGACGCUGUCCCGCUGCAAACUCUCCGACUCGGUCUGCAGAGAUCUCUCUGAGGCCCUGAGGGAGGCCCCAGCCCUGGCAGAGCUGGGCCUCUUCCACAAUGGGCUCAGCGAGGCCGGCCUGCGUGUGCUGAGCGAGGGCCUGGCCUCGCCCCAGUGCCGGGUGCAGACACUCAGGGUUCAGCAGCCAGGCCUGCAGGAAGCACUCCAGUACAUGGUUGGCAAGCUCCAGCAGAUCCCAGCACUGACCACCCUGGAUCUCAGUGGCUGCCAGCUGUCAGGACCUGCACUGACCUGCUUGUACACCACCCUAAAGUGCCCAGGAUGCCGCCUGCAAACCCUCAGGCUGACCUCUGUGGAGCUGAGCGAGCAGUCCCUGCAGGAGCUGCGAGCGGUGGAGACAGCAAACCCAAGACUAGUCAUCACACACCCAGCGCUGGACGUCCACCCCAAGCCCCCCAAAGUGUCCAUCAGUGCCCUCUGA
rnacentral:lncRNA from 1 species